CGCGGACUCCUCAGUAUAUCGCGGGAUUCUGUGAUCGAUAGAAGAUCAACGUUACCAUUCGAAAUUUUCCUCACCCACCAACCAACCCUCACUCAGUGUUUGAGCAAAAAUCUAUCAAGAUCAUUGCAGACCAAAUGUGAAACUCCAUUGAUUUGAUCUAAGGAUGUUUGGCGACAUGAAGGACAUCCGGCAGUGAAAAAAUUGCCUCAGCGAAUCCCGCCUGGCACAUAACAUACAAGCGUAGAAAAGUGGACGUUGAAACGACGACGACGACGAUGAUGAUGAUGAUGAUGAUGAUGAUGAUGAUGAUGAUGAUGAUGAUGAUGAUGAUGAUAUAUUAUAAAAUUCAUUUUGGUUGGGUCUUUAAGUUUCUCCAAACAGCUUAUUUAUUCAACCAUUGAUGAUGUGUCUUUCUGCUAUUUAUAUUAGAAGA
rnacentral:lncRNA from 1 species